GAUCUUCAGUAGAUUGCAUCUUUUCAGUAGAGUGUUCGAUCAUCCAGCGAAAAAGUGCGUUUUGUCUUUGUUAAUAAUGGUAUGAAUAUCGUGCAUUCUUGUGCCAGUAUUUCUAUUUAUCUGGCACAAGUUUAUCCAGCCGCUAGUCGACAGAUGGUAUGGAAAACCGAAACUCGAAAGUGGCAAAACCGAGGAGGAACUGACUUCAGACCCUGAUGGCUCGCUUCCCAAUGGUGGUGUAAAAGCUGAUGUUUCACCUUCUAAAGAAGUGACUGCUGAUGGCCGUGUAAAGUCUGAAUAGAAUCUUACACAAUCCAGUUGAACCUACAUAAAUUUGUCACCUGUCCAGUUGGGACAACUAUGUGAAGCAAGGAUCAUGAAGACUUUUGAUAAAAUCCUAUGUUGUGGGACAUUCAUAAGUUGGAGGCAAUAAAACUUUGCUUUACAAAGAAAACAUUGAACAUGGAAAUUUUUUUCUCGGUAGUUCUCUAGGCCAGUAAUGAUGUACUAUAAUGUUUGAAUUAACACCAAUGCAGUGUACACCAUCCUUUAUAUUUGGUUAAAAUCUAUAAUUAUUCAAAAUAUGAAAAUUGUAAACUGUGAAUUGAAAUAACAAUAACAUCUGAACUGCACAGAACUGUUAAUCAUUUA